rnacentral:pre_miRNA from 1 species
UUAAUCCAAAUGAGUAUGAGUUUGGAACGUUUGCAUACGUUUGCCGCUAGAGGUGCUGUUCCAAUUGCAUACAAAUUCGAGUUA